rnacentral:lncRNA from 1 species
GGAGAUUUGAUUCGUGAAAGAUAAAAUUAGAGAUGAGAUGAGAGAGAGAGAGAGAGAAAAAAAGAAAGAAACACUUUUGAAAGGCCCAUGUGGUGAGCAUGUGGGGAUUGCAUUCUGCUCUUUUUCUUAAGGCAAUGCCAAAUCCCAAGUGCCCGGGAAUUUGAAUUCCCGUGGGACCUCACGCACUCCUAUCACCAUGUUUUCCGGAUCCUGCCAAUUUUCCUUUUCUUUCCUUUCAUCUUCUCUUCUCCAUAUCUCUCUCACACGCCCAACCAACUCCAAACCCUACCUACUUAUUUUCCUUCCUAUAAACAUAUAUAUCCUUCUGUUAUUCAUACACUCUUUAACUCCACUCAAAUACUACUAUAAUCACGCCAUUCAAACAUACAUUACAUAAAUC